rnacentral:rRNA from 1 species
GACAGAGGGUGCAAACGUUGUUCGGAAUUACUGGGCGUAAAGCGAGUGUAGGCGGUGUGGUAAGUCGGAUGUGAAAGCCCCGGGCUCAACCCGGGAAGUGCACUCGAUACUGCCACGCUAGAGUAUCGGAGAGGUUGGUGGAAUUCUCGGUGUAGAGGUGAAACUCGUAGAUAUCGAGAGGAACACCGGUGGCGAAGGCGGCCAACUGGACGAAUACUGACGCUGAGACUCGAAAGCGUGGGGAGCAAACAGG